AAUAUGAAUUUGGUCUUGAACUAAGAGCGUUAUGGUCUAUUCGUUCCAAAAUGUUUCUAGUGAAAGAGGGGAUUACUAAUUCUUCAUUUGGAAAAGAAAUAAAUGAUAGAUCAAGAAAGAGGGAGGUUGUUUGGUUGCUAUAGGCUUGCAAGAAAGAAGGCAAAAAUAGAAGAAAAAAAACAAAAAGAAAGAAAUAAGUAGUUU
rnacentral:lncRNA from 1 species